rnacentral:rRNA from 1 species
UUCUAUGGCCAUACCACUCUGAAAUGUGCCCGAACUCAACAGAUCUCAGAAGCUAAGCAGGGUUGGGCCUAGUUAGUACUUGAAUGGGAUAAAAU